GCUCCCCGCGGACCAGACCGCCCCACCCGGCUCUCCCUCGGCCCGGUACCCACGAGCGCGGCCUCCCCGGAGUCUCCCCACCAGGGCCUCGUCAGGAGGCGUACCCGAAACCCGGGAACGGAGGGAUGCUUCCCGGCGUCUCAGGGCCUGGGGUUCGAAACCCUGCUCUGCCGGAGUCCGUCUGCGGCCUCGGAGCCUCAGUUUCCCCUCUAGGUCGAGGUACCCGGGAGGUGAAGGAAUGGUGGCAGUUCUCGUUACUAGCCCCACCCCACCCCCGACCCCGGGCGGUCCACGGCUGCCCUGCACCCCGCAGGCACUCUGCAAGGGUUGUUGAAUGAAUACGUAUACAGAGUCCUGGGAGGCCAUAGAUCUUGGACACCAGGAUGGAGGAUCGGCCUGUCCUGGCGUCUUAGAGUGAUGCCUGUGCAAGGAAUUCACAGUCUGAUGGAAGGAGAAGCUCUGCGAACCAGCGACCCCCUCUCGCUUCUGUGCGGAGUGCUGUGAGACGCCAGAGCGGCCCGAGCUUCGCCGGGAGGGUCUCGGGGUAAGUUUGCCCGCAGAGGUGAUACCUGAAGCAGACAUCAGAGGUUGCCCAGGGUAGGAGGGUGUGAGACAGACUCUCAAGAACAAUGAGAGGUGCGGUGACCAGUACGGAGCGUCUAUCGAGGACACGAACUGGGUGAAAGGAAGACAGGUGGCUGCAACAAGCCAACUGAAGUAGACCCAGGUUUGUUUUAGGAAGGUUUCAGCCCGCGGUCUGUGCGCUGUGGAGGGAGGUUGGGGCAGGUGCAGCUGGAUGCCGGGCUGUGCGGGUUUGCCCCUUGGGGUGUCCAGCAGCUUCCUGGCCUGUGAUCUGAGUGCCUCCCCGACUCCACAGACACAGUCCUGCCUUGAUACUGAUGUCUCUCCUCACAGUAUACAUGGAAAAUCUGUUAACAAUGACGAUUCCUGGACCCUGGUAACUCGGAUGGGACAUUUAGGAAUAUGUAUUUUAAAAAUGUUCUCUCAUUUCCAUGCACAAAAGGCCAUGAACCAUGGCCUACAAUUACUGUUUGUUUUACGUCAUUGCAAACAAAUUAGUUUUGCAUUUGGAAGAAAGAUUUAAUCUGCUGUUAAGGCCUCAAUUUGAUUAGUUUCGCAUGCCUAGCAGCCAGGUGGCACACCUUUAUCUGUAGUUGGGUUGAGCGGGGGCGGGUAAGAACAUCCUGGGGUAAGCCAGUGACUGUGAGAGGAGGCUAAAUGGGAUUUCACGUAAAAGCAUGGUAACAUGAGAUCAGCGACGGAAAGGGGCCUCAAAAGUACUCUAGGCACUCUCAGCUCUGGCACACAACGUCAUGCAAUGUAUCAAAACACUCAUCUCUUCUAUGUCUCCCAGUAGAGCCCAGAGAUGUGGCCAUUACCAUCCCCAUUUUGCACAAGACAAUAGAAAGAACUGGACAUUUUAAGUGACUUAUUCUUGCCCCUGCCCUUCCAAGAAAGCAUUUGCUAGCUAGAGUGUCAGAAUGCAAGUGAAAAUCCAGACUCGCUCGCCAACCUCCACCAAAUCCUGCCCAUUUUCUGUAACAUCAGUGGCCAAGUUUCAUCUCUUUUACGUUUUCUUAGAACUAGUGCUAACCAUGUCAAUUUGAGGAUGCCGGUUGCCUCUCUGCAUAUUUCCAUAAUGAUCAUCACCAUGACAGUAUAGCUACCAUCUAUCUGGUGACUGAAGCGGCUUGAUGUGUUAAGUUUUACAGUACACUAAUGCUCGCAGCCAACCUGUGUGGUAGGUGACAUCACACA